UCUCAGUUCGGAUCGGAGUCUGCAACCCGACUCCGUGAAGCUGGAUUCGCUAGUAAUCGCGCAUCAGCCACGGCGCGGUGAAUACGUUCCCGGGCCUUGUACACACCGCCCGUCACACCAUGGAAGUCUGCAAUGCCCGAAGCCGGUGGCCUAACCACUUAUGUGGAAGGAGCCGUCUAAGGUAGGGCAGAUGACUGGGGUGAAGUCGUAACAAGGUAGC
rnacentral:rRNA from 1 species